rfam:Ciona savignyi cont_28872, whole genome shotgun sequence.
GCCUGGACGAUCCUCAGUGGUCUGGGGUGCAGGCUUCAAACCUGUAGCUGAUUAACGUCAGAGUGGUUCGAUUCCACCUUCUAGGC